rnacentral:rRNA from 1 species
CAGGCCUAACACAUGCAAGUCGAGCGGACUUAUCCUUCGGGAUAGGUUAGCGGCGGACGGGUGAGUAACACGUAGGCAACCUGCCUGUAAGAUCGGGACAACUACCGGAAACGGUAGCUAAGACCGGAUAGCUGGUUUCUCCGCAUGGGGGAAUCAUGAAACAUGGGGCAACCUAUGGCUUACGGAUGGGCCUGCGGCGCAUUAGCUAGUUGGUGGGGUAAUGGCCCACCAAGGCGACGAUGCGUAGCCGACCUGAGAGGGUGAUCGGCCACACUGGGACUGAGACACGGCCCAGACUCCUACGGGAGGCAGCAGUAGGGAAUCUUCCGCAAUGGGCGCAAGCCUGACGGAGCAACGCCGCGUGAGUGAUGAGGGUUUUCGGAUCGUAAAGCUCUGUUGCCAAGGAAGAACGCCUCGGAGAGUAACUGCUCUGAGGGUGACGGUACUUGAGAAGAAAGCCCCGGCUAACUACGUGCCAGCAGCCGCGGUAAUACGUAGGGGGCAAGCGUUGUCCGGAAUUAUUGGGCGUAAAGCGCGCGCAGGCGGUCUUUUAAGUUUGGUGUUUAAGCCCGGGGCUCAACCCCGGUUCGCACUGAAAACUGGGAGACUUGAGUGCAGGAGAGGAAAGCGGAAUUCCACGUGUAGCGGUGAAAUGCGUAGAGAUGUGGAGGAACACCAGUGGCGAAGGCGGCUUUCUGGACUGUAACUGACGCUGAGGCGCGAAAGCGUGGGGAGCAAACAGGAUUAGAU